rnacentral:rRNA from 1 species
ACGGAAGGCAGCAGUGGGGAAUAUUGCACAAUGGGCGAAAGCCUGAUGCAGCGACGCCGCGUGAGUGAAGAAGUAUCUCGGUAUGUAAAGCUCUAUCAGCAGGGAAGAAAAUGACGGUACCUGACUAAGAAGCCCCGGCUAACUACGUGCCAGCAGCCGCGGUAAUACGUAGGGGGCAAGCGUUAUCCGGAUUUACUGGGUGUAAAGGGAGCGUAGACGGUUUGGCAAGUCUGAAGUGAAAUGCGGGGGCUCAACUCCUGAACUGCUUUGGAAACUGUCGAACUAGAGUGCAGGAGAGGUAAGUGGAAUUCCUAGUGUAGCGGUGAAAUGCGUAGAUAUUAGGAGGAACACCAGUGGCGAAGGCGGCUUACUGGACUGUAACUGACGUUGAGGCUCGAAAGCGUGGGGAGCAACCAGGAUUAGAUACCCUGGUA